rnacentral:tRNA from 1 species
UCCCUGAUGGUCCAGAGGUUAAGACUCUGCACUGCCAUUGCAGGGGGCACAAGUUCAAUCCCUAGUUGGGGAA